ACGGAUCGGAGAAAUCUGGUGCUCAGCCUGCUCUUUCUGAGACCACCACCAAAGCUCCUUCCAACAAGUCUUAUUCUGAUCCGUUAAAAAGUAUCGGCGAUGUAACUUCUUCCUCGUCGGUGGUCCCCGUUUCUCAGCUGCUUGCUUAAGCCGUCACUGUUGGAUUCUUACUGCAAUGCAUCAUCAUGUGAUUUCAGCAUCUGCAUAUUAUGUGUGUUUAAUUUCAGUUCUGUAGCAUCAAUGGAUAUGGAAGUCCUUAGAUGUUUCUCUGUUCAAAAAUCUUUUCUUUUGGACUUGUAAUGUCAAAAUGCUUUUGGUUAUGGAACAUUCAAAGAGGAGAUUUGUCUUUGUGUUCAUCAUCUGUUAACUAAAGGCAGAAGCUUUUAAUCUUAUAAAGCUCAAUUACCUGGUUUGAAUGCUUGAUUCAUGUGUUAAGGUUCAAGACAGAAGAGAAGAGUUAGAAGGAGAAGAUGUUGUACAUCAUAGGUUUAGGUUUAGGAGACUUGAUAGCUUUUACGAGAAGAUUAAGAAGAACCGUGCUCUUGGACUGCACACUCUCUGUGGAGCUACAUUGACCAUUCUUUGGCCCUCCUUUACCUUUCAUACAACAUUUACUUGCUUCUUUCGCAGGUACUUUCCGUUUCUCGGGAGAAGCUUCUUCAGCAGUCUUAUUGUAUUUUUUCCAUACCUGAAGCCUCUCAGCCACAAUAGUACUGUUCGUCGAUGUAUCGAGUUGAGUACUGUUAAUGUCUCCACCAUGAUCAUAAACUGCCAUGUUCUUCUUGAAAACAACACAAUCUACAAAUAAAAACCAUUUUGUUGCAGGACCUCAACAA